GUGUCAGCCGCCGCGGUAAUACGUAGGGUCCGAGCGUUGUCCGGAAUUAUUGGGCGUAAAGGGCUCGUAGGCGGUUUGUCACGUCGGGAGUGAAAACUCAGGGCUCAACCCUGAGCGUGCUUCCGAUACGGGCAGACUAGAGGUAUGCAGGGGAGAACGGAAUUCCUGGUGUAGCGGUGGAAUGCGCAGAUAUCAGGAGGAACACCGGUGGCGAAGGCGGUUCUCUGGGCAUUACCUGACGCUGAGGAGCGAAAGCAUGGGGAGCGAACAGGAUUAGAUACCCUCGUAGUCC
rnacentral:rRNA from 1 species